AUUGAACGCUAGCGGCAUGCUUAACACAUGCAAGUCGAACGGUAACAGGUCUAGCUUGCUAGAUGCUGACGAGUGGCGGACGGGUGAGUAACGCGUAGGAAUCUACCUUGUAGUGGGGGAUAACUUGGGGAAACCCAAGCUAAUACCGCAUGAGCCCUAAGGGGGAAAGCAGGGGACCGAAAGGCCCUGUGCUAUGAGAUGAGCCUGCGUCGGAUUAGCUAGUUGGUGGGGUAAAGGCCUACCAAGGCGAGGAUCCGUAGCUGGUCUGAGAGGACGACCAGCCACACUGGGACUGAGACACGGCCCAGACUCCUACGGGAGGCAGCAGUGGGGAAUAUUGGACAAUGGGCGCAAGCCUGAUCCAGCAAUGCCGCGUGUGUGAAGAAGGCCUGCGGGUUGUAAAGCACUUUCAGUGGGGAGGAAGGUCGUCAAUGCUAAUAGUAUUGAGAAUUGACGUUACCUACAGAAGAAGCACCGGCUAACUCUGUGCCAG
rnacentral:rRNA from 1 species